AACUACAAGACUCGGCAGAAAUCGUUUUGAGGGGCCGGUCCCAGAACGAGCGUUUGAAACCAUGACCAAUCUUUUCGACCUGGACUUGUCAAGCAACAAGUUUAACGGGACACUGCCAAACCUGACAAUGAUACAUUCCUUACGCACUGUGUGAGUUUCGGAUGCCCAGGAUGUGUGUGCAGUACCUUACAAGCUUAAGCAUAACUCUGCAAUUAUGUUGCCAGCUUGUCAAUGUUGUGACGGGAAAGUUGUAACCACGCACGUCAGUUCCAUAGUUGCAUUCCUUACAUUGGCUAACACUUGCAGCAGGGAUUGCCAUGGAA